UCAAGCUAUAAAGAGCGCAAGGGGAAUGCCUUGGCAUCAGGAGCCGAAGAAGGACGUGACAAGCUGCGAUAAGCUUCGGGGAGGAGCAAAUAUCCGUUGAUCCGGAGAUUUCCGAAUGGGGAAACCCACCAGAGCAAUACUCUGGUAUCGUGCGUUGAAUAAAAUAGGCGUACGAGGGGAACGCCCUGAACUGAAACAUCUAAGUAGGGGCAGGAAAAGACAUCAACCGAGAUUCCGCAAGUAGUGGCGAGCGAACGCGGAGGAGGCCAAACCAGAGGUCAUUGAUUUCUGGGGUAAGGACUUGCAUCAUGAUCAGAGGUAUCUAGUCGAAUGGCGUGGGAAAGCCAACCACAGAGGGUGAGAGUCCCGUAGACGAAAGAGAAGACUGACAGCGAGUAUCCAGAGUACCGCCGGACACGUGAAACCCGGUGGGAACAUGGGAGGACCACCUUCCAAGCCUAAAUACUACCUGAUGACCGAUAGAGAAGCAGUACCGUGAGGGAAAGGUGAAAAGAACCCCGGGAGGGGAGUGAAAUAGUACCUGAAACCUUGUGCUUACAAGCAGUCAGAGCACGUUAAAGUGUGAUGGCGUACCUUUUGUAGAAUGGUCCGGCGAGUUAUAGUCACUGGCGAGGUUAAGCAAUUCAGUUGUGGAGCCGAAGGGAAACCGAGUCUUAAUAGGGCGUCGAGUCAGUGGCCAUAGACCUGAAACCGGGUGACCUAUCCAUGAGCAGGUUGAAGUUGGUGUAAAAGCCAAUGGAGGACCGAACCCACGUUCGUUGCAAUGACCGGGGAUGACUUGUGGAUAGCGGAGAAAUUCCAAUCGAACUCGGAGAUAGCUGGUUCUCCCCGAAAUAGCUUUAGGGCUAGCCUCAUAUUAGAUACCCGGAGGUAAAGCACUGAAUGGCCUAGCGCCCGAGAGGGUAGCGAAGCCUAUCAAACUAAGAAUGCCGGAGUAUUGAUGUAUGGGAGUCAGACAGUGUGAGAUAAAUCUCAUUGUCAAAAGGGAAACAGCCCAGAUCUACAGCUAAGGUCCCAAAUUGUAUCUAAGUGGAAAACGAUGUGGAAAUACGCAGACAACCAGGAUGUUGGCUCAGAAGCAGCCACUCAUUUAAAGAGUGCGUAAUAGCUCACUGGUCGAGCGUCUCUGCGCGGAAAAUUUAACGGGGCUAAGAUACAAACCGAAGCUUAGGCUGCAUCGUAAGAUGCGGGGUAGGGGAGCGUUGUGUAAGCGGAGAAACAGUAGCGUAAGCGGCUGUGGAGUUUACAGAAGUGAGAAUGCCGGAAUGAGUAGCGCGAAUGUGGUGAGAAUCCACAUGGCCGGAAACCUCAGGUUUUUGGAGGAAGGUUCGUCCGCUCCAAGUUAGGCGGGAGCUAAGGUCAGGCCGAAAGGCGUAGCCGAUGCACAGACGGUAGAGAUUCCGUCCCCACCGAAAGAUUUAAGCACAGGGACACUUUUAGAAGGUCAGAGCCGGGUGUUGGUUCCGGUAGAGAUCGAGGGAAAUAUAGUACCGAAGUCUGGCUGGAUGAGAGGCGAGAAAAGCUGUGUGUAUAUCUAAGGUGCCCGUACCGCAAACCGACACAGGUAGGUAGGAAGAAGAUUCUAAGGCCAACGGGAGAAGGGUUGUUAAGGAACUCGGCAAAUUGACCCCGUAACUUCGGGAGAAGGGGUGCUCCAGAGAUGGAGCCGCAGAGAAUCGGCCCAAGCAACUGUUUACCAAAAACACAGGUUUGUGCUAAAUCGAAAGAUGACGUAUACGAGCUGACGCCUGCCCGGUGCUGGAAGGUUAAGAGGAGAUGUGCAAGCAUUGAAUCGAAGCCCCAGUGAACGGCGGCCGUAACUAUAACGGUCCUAAGGUAGCGAAAUUCCUUGUCAGGUAAGUUCUGACCCGCAUGAAAGGCGUAAUGAUUUGGGCACUGUCUCAACAGCCCGCCCGGCGAAAUUGUAGUACCGGUGAAGAUGCCGGUUACCCGCGACAAGACGGAAAGACCCCAUGGAGCUUUACUGUAGCCUAAUAUUGGGUUUCGAUGUUGCAUGCACAGGAUAGAUGGGACUCUGGGAAACCAGUGCUUUGGCGCUGGCGGAGAGGCCGUUGGGAUACCAUCCUUGCGAUAUUGGAAUUCUAACCUGCGGCUCUGAAUCGAGUCGGGGGACAUUGUUAGGUGGGCAGUUUGACUGGGGCGGUCGCCUCCUAAAGAGUAACGGAGGCGUUCAAAGGUUCGCUCAGCUUGAACGGAAAUCAAGCAAAAGAGUGCAAACGCAGAAGCGAGCCUAACUGCGAGACUGACGGGUCGAGCAGUAACGAAAGUUGGAGUUAGUGAUCCGGUGGUAUGUGAGUGGAAAUGCCAUCGCUCAACGGAUAAAAGUUACCCUGGGGAUAACAGGCUGAUCUCCCCCAAGAGUCCACAUCGACGGGGAGGUU
rnacentral:rRNA from 1 species